GCCUCCUUAGCUCAGUGGUAGAGCGCGUCACUAGUACUCCGGAUCGACGCCGUUCGGUCUUGGACUCGCUAUGACGAGGUCAGUCGUUCAAAUCGGCUAGGAGGCA
rnacentral:tRNA from 2 species